rnacentral:rRNA from 1 species
UCCAGAGGGUGCGAUCGUUAAUCGGAAUUACUUGGCGUAAAGCGCGCGUAGGCGGCUUUGCAAGUCGGGUGUGAAAUCCCCAGGCUUAACCUGGGAACUGCAUUCGAGACUGCGUUGCUAGAGUAUGGGAGAGGGAAGUGGAAUUUCCGGUGUAGCGGUGAAAUGCGUAGAUAUCGGAAGGAACAUCAGUGGCGAAAGCGACUUCCUGGACCAAUACUGACGCUCAUGUGCGAAAGCGUGGGGAGAAAGCAGG